rnacentral:rRNA from 1 species
CCUACGGGAGGCAGCAGUGGGGAAUAUUGCACAAUGGGCGCAAGCCUGAUGCAGCGACGCCGCGUGAGGGAUGACGGCCUUCGGGUUGUAAACCUCUUUCAGUAGGGAAGAAGCGAAAGUGACGGUACCUGCAGAAGAAGCGCCGGCUAACUACGUGCCAGCAGCCGCGGUAAUACGUAGGGCGCAAGCGUUAUCCGGAAUUAUUGGGCGUAAAGAGCUCGUAGGCGGUUUGUCGCGUCUGCCGUGAAAGUCCGGGGCUCAACUCCGGAUCUGCGGUGGGUACGGGCAGACUAGAGUGAUGUAGGGGAGACUGGAAUUCCUGGUGUAGCGGUGAAAUGCGCAGAUAUCAGGAGGAACACCGAUGGCGAAGGCAGGUCUCUGGGCAUUAACUGACGCUGAGGAGCGAAAGCAUGGGGAGCGAACAGGAUUAGAUACCCUGGUAGUCCAUGCCGUAAACGUUGGGCACUAGGUGUGGGGGUACAUUCCACGUUUUCCGCGCCGUAGCUAACGCAUUAAGUGCCCCGCCNGGGGAGUACGGCCGCAAGGCAAACUCAAAGGAAUUGACGG